CCUACGGGAGGCAGCAGUGGGGAAUAUUGGGCAAUGGAGGAAACUCUGACCCAGCGACGCCGCGUGCGGGAUGAAGGCCUUCGGGUUGUAAACCGCUUUCAGUAGGGAAGAAGCGAAAGUGACGGUACCUACAGAAGAAGCACCGGCUAACUAUGUGCCAGCAGCCGCGGUAAUACAUAGGGUGCAAGCGUUGUCCGGAAUUAUUGGGCGUAAAGAGCUCGUAGGUGGUUCGUCACGUCGGAUGUGAAAAUCUGGGGCUCAACCCCAGACCCUGCAUUCGAUACGGGCGAUCUAGAGUGUGGUAGGGGAGACUGGAAUUCCUGGCGUAGCGGUGGAAUGCGCAGAUAUCAGGAGGAACACCAAUGGCGAAGGCAGGUCUCUGGGCCAUUACUGACACUGAGGAGCGAAAGCGUGGGGAGCGAACAGGAUUAGAUACCCUGGUAGUCCACGCCGUAAACGGUGGGCACUAGUUGUGGGAACCUUCCACGGUUUCUGCGACGCNGCUACGCAUAGUAGCCCGCCGUCGGGAGGUACGAGUCGCGAGAGUUAAACGUACUAAGUAGUAGUUAGUUACGUCGUUGAGACGUUGCCGACGGCGACGACGAGGGAGGAGG
rnacentral:rRNA from 1 species